rnacentral:rRNA from 1 species
AUUGAACGCUGGCGGCAUGCUUUACACAUGCAAGUCGAACGGCAGCACGGGGCAACCCUGGUGGCGAGUGGCGAACGGGUGAGUAAUAUAUCGGAACGUACCCGGAAAUGGGGGAUAACGUAGCGAAAGUUACGCUAAUACCGCAUAUGCCCUAAGGGGGAAAGCGGGGGAUUCGCAAGAACCUCGCGUUUUCGGAGCGGCCGAUAUCGGAUUAGCUAGUAGGUGAGGUAAAGGCUCACCUAGGCGACGAUCCGUAGCUGGUCUGAGAGGACGACCAGCCACACUGGAACUGAGACACGGUCCAGACUCCUACGGGAGCAGCAGUGGGGAAUUUUGGACCAAUGGGCGCAAGCCUGAUCCAGCCAUGCCGCGUGAGUGAUGAAGGCCUUAGGGUUGUAAAGCACUUUCGGCUGUGAAGAUAAUGACAGUAGCAGAAGAAGAAGCUUCCGGCUAAAAUUCGUGCCAGCAGCCGCGGUAAU